AACGAACGCUGGCGGCAGGCCUAACACAUGCAAGUCGAGCGCACUCUUCGGAGUGAGCGGCGGACGGGUUAGUAACGCGUGGGAACGUACCUUUCGGUAAGGAAUAGCCUCUGGAAACGGAGAGUAAUACCUUAUACGCCCUUUGGGGGAAAGAUUUAUCGCCGAGGGAUCGGCCCGCGUUAGAUUAGAUAGUUGGUGGGGUAACGGCCUACCAAGUCUACGAUCUAUAGCUGGUUUUAGAGGAUGGUCAGCAACACUGGGACUGAGACACGGCCCAGACUCCUACGGGAGGCAGCAGUGGGGAAUCUUGGACAAUGGGCGCAAGCCUGAUCCAGCCAUGCCGCGUGAGUGAUGAAGGCCUUAGGGUCGUAAAGCUCUUUCGUCGGGGAAGAAAAUGACUGUACCCGAAUAAGAAGGUCCGGCUAACUUCGUG
rnacentral:rRNA from 1 species